AAGAUGGCGACCGGCGCACGGGUGAGUAACACGUAUCCAACCUGCCGAUAACUCCGGAACAGCCUUUCGAAAGAAAGAUUAAUACCGGAUGGCAUACGAAUAUCGCAUGAUAUUUUUAUUAAAGAAUUUCGGUUAUCGAUGGGGAUGCGUUCCAUUAGUUUGUUGGCGGGGUAACGGCCCACCAAGACUACGAUGGAUAGGGGUUCUGAGAGGAAGGUCCCCCACAUUGGAACUGAGACACGGUCCAA
rnacentral:rRNA from 1 species